GAAAUGCGAUAAGUAAUGUGAAUUGCAGAAUUCAGUGAAUCAUCGAAUCUUUGAACGCACCUUGCGCUCCUUGGUAUUCCUUGGAACAUGCCUGUUUGAGUAUCAUGAAAUCUUCAAAGUAAAUCUUUUGUUAACUCAAUUGGUUUCUACUUUGGUAUUGGAGGUCUUUGCAGCUUCACACCUGCUCCUCUUUGUUCAUUAGCUGGAUCUCAGUGUUAUGCUUGGUUCCACUCGGCGUGAUAAGUUAUCUAUCGCUGAGGACACUGUAAAAGGUGGCCAAGGUAAAUGCAGAUGAACCGCUUCUAAUAGUCCAUUGACUUGGACAAUACUUUUAUGAUCUGAUCUCAAAUCAGGUAGGACUACCCGCUGAACUUAAGG
rnacentral:misc_RNA from 1 species